rnacentral:piRNA from 1 species
UCUGGUCCUACACCUAGGCAUCA